UACGUAGGGUGCGAGCGUUGUCCGGAAUUACUGGGCGUAAAGAGCUCGUAGGUGGUUUGUCGCGUUGUCCGUGAAAACUCACAGCUUAACUGUGGGCGUGCGGGCGAUACGGGCAGACUGGAGUACUGCAGGGGGAGACUGGAAUUCCUGGUGUAGCGGUGGAAUGCGCAGAUAUCAGGAAGAACACCCGUGGCGAAGGCGGUUCUCUGGGACGGUACUGACGCUGAGACGCGAAAGCGUGGGGAGCGAACAGG
rnacentral:rRNA from 1 species